rnacentral:tRNA from 2 species
CGCGGGAUAGAGCAGUUUGGUAGCUCGUCGGGCUCAUAACCCGGAGGUCGGAGGUUCAAAUCCUCCUCCCGCAACCA